rnacentral:rRNA from 1 species
GACGAACGCUGGCGGCGUGCCUAAUACAUGCAAGUUGAGCGCUGAAGGUUGGUACUUGUACCAACUGGAUGAGCAGCGAACGGGUGAGUAACGCGUGGGGAAUCUGCCUUUGAGCGGGGGACAACAUUUGGAAACGAAUGCUAAUACCGCAUAAAAACUUUAAACACAAGUUUUAAGUUUGAAAGAUGCAAUUGCAUCACUCAAAGAUGAUCCCGCGUUGUAUUAGCUAGUUGGUGAGGUAAAGGCUCACCAAGGCGAUGAUACAUAGCCGACCUGAGAGGGUGAUCGGCCACAUUGGGACUGAGACAAGGCCCAAACCCCUACGGGAGGCAGCAGUAGGGAAUCUUCGGCAAUGGACGAAAGUCUGACCGAGCAACGCCGCGUGAGUGAAGAAGGUUUUCGGAUCGUAAAACUCUGUUGGUAGAGAAGAACGUUGGUGAGAGUGGAAAGCUCAUCAAGUGACGGUAACUACCCAGAAAGGGACGGCUAACUACGUG